UAAAUACCCAACGUAACGGUGCCGCUACACCAGGCGGACACCGGAGAUCGUAGCUCUCCCUCUGAUCACCUGUAAAUACUAAACAUGAACAGCUUCACCAUCUUCUGCCUCGUGGCAUGGACAAUAACGUUACUGACAGAGCCCUUUCGUGUGGUAGCGGCGGACAGUAACAGCACUGUGGCAGGAAAUGGAACAAAUACAACAAAAAAAGACGGCAAUGCUGCUGAAACAGUUGCCAUAGCAACACCCCUGAUCCUGAUAGGCCUUGCCACCGCCCUCCAACUUGCUGCGCGACCUUGACAUCCACGAUAUACUUCCUGUCACGUGUCCGGUUUAAGCAUCCCGCUGCGCAUGAUCCUGUGGUUAUAAAAUGUUAAGGUUUAUUUUGAACUUUCUUUACGGAUAAGGAAUUCAUUUUGCUGUAUGCUGUAUUGCUGAUACAUUUGUGACCACUCGUGUCAGUCCGGGGCAAGACAAGUGUGGCAUCUCGUUUACCUCUCGCUGCCAUCUUAUCAACUGGGUUCCGCCUCCAUGAAAGCGGGCAUACCGACAGGAAUAGUCAACUCAUUAUCAACUAUCCAAUUGUUUGUGUAAACUUAAACGGGUAUUUUCCACAGUUGUUAUUGACAACAAAUGUGAUUGUUUUGGUAAAAUUCAACAUGACACGAGUAUAUGACCCUUGGAUAAACAAUUAGAUAAAAAAUACAUAAAAUCAGGCAUUUUUGAUAGAAAUGUAGUCACACGCGCUUUCUGCACGGUUUAUCUAGUCUCCACACGUAACAAGGGUUGACAGGGGACUGAGCGUUCUUGCAGGACACGGAAAGGGACGAGUGGGGCGAAAUUCGUUGGCGUGAAAACAUUAGAACACUAAUGCUUGUCACUGAACUAAGAAACAUUACUUCAAUAUUUUAUCACCACAGGUGAAGCAGUAACACGGGCACUGGCACAGGCGCUGUCCAAGUACAUGUCAAUGAGACCGUAAUUGAUAGCACGUGUUUGUGACUUAUUGUGUUAAUCUUCAUGAUUUUGUUUCCAUUUGAUUAAAAACAUCUUGUUAACA